GAUCAUGGCUCAGGAUGAACGCUGGCGGCGUGCCUAACACAUGCAAGUCGAGCGGGAAAUCCGUAACGGAUCCUUCGGGUGACGGAUCGGAUGGAGAGCGGCGGACGGGUGAGUAACGCGUAGGUAACCUGCCCUGUACAGAGGGAUAGCCACUGGAAACGGUGAUUAAUACCUCAUAAUGCCGGAUCUGCACACGCAGGACCGGUCAAAGUUUUUUCGGUACAGGAUGGACCUGCGUCUGAUUAG
rnacentral:rRNA from 1 species